rnacentral:rRNA from 1 species
AACGGCGAGUGAAGCGGGAAGAGCUCACGUUGUGAAUCUGGCCCUCGGGCCCGAAUUGUACACUGGAGAGGCGUGGCCAGCCGCUGUCCGCGGCCAAGUCUGAUUGGAAAUGAGCAUCAAGGAGGGUGACAAUCCCGUCCAUGCCGCGGUAUCGAUCAGCGCGCGUCCGGCCCGCUUUCGACGAGUCGAGUUGCUUGGGAUUGCAGCUCAAAGAGGGUGGUAAACUCCAUCCAAAGCUAAACACGGGGGGGAGACCGAUAGCGAACAAGUACCGUGAGGGAAAGAUGCAAAGAACUUUGAAAAGAGAGUUAAAGAGUGCCUGAAAUUGCUGGAAGGGAAGCGAAGGAAAGAGGUGUGCGGUUGCCCGGGCGCCAACCCCUACCUGUCCGCAGGUGGGGGUAGGCCGCCCGGCCCGCGGUCAGGGGUAGCGCCGUGCUCGGGGGAAGAGCCGUCGGGGAUCGGUAGGCGCGCCGCUUCGGCGGUGCGUUGUCAGGCCCCGGUGGUUGUUGCCCUGAGCCCGGCCCCCGUCUGGCGGUCGCGGCUUUUCUUCACCCCGUCUUGAAACACGGACCAAGGAGUCUAGCGUGGACGCGAGUAGAGGGGUGUCCAAACCCCCUUGCGCAAUGAAGGUGAACGCCGGUGGGAGGCUGUUAUGGCCAGCACCAUCGACCGAGCGUGCUCCUCCGGGGGCAAGGCUUGAGUGUGAGCGUGCAUGCUGGGACCCGAAAGAUGGUGAACUAUGCCUGAAUAGGGCGAAGCCAGGGGAAACUCUGGUGGAGGCUCGUAGCGAUUCUGACGUGCAAAUCGAUCGUGAGAUUUGGGUAUAGGGGCGAAAGACUAAUCGAACCAUCUAGUAGCUGGUUCCCUCCGAAAUUUCCCUCAGGAUAGCAGCGGCCGAGUUUGACAGUUUUAUCAGGUAAAGCGAAUGAUUAGAGGCUGCGGGGGAGUAACUCCCUCGCCCUAUUCUCAAACUUUAAAUGGGUAAGGAGCUGGGGUCGCUUGAUUGGACCCUCGGCGUUAUUGGAAUGGCUGGUCGUUAGUGGGCCAGUCCGGGUAAGCUGGACUGGCGAUGCGGGAUGAACCGAACGCCUAGAUGAAGCGCCUCACUGCCCGCUCACCUAGAUCCCACAAAAGGU